AUGCGGUAAUGCUAAUGAUUCGAAAGAUUCUCCCGUAGCCAGAAACCUGAAAAUAAAAACAAAAGCCUACUCUUAUUAUAGCAAUUUUUUAAAUGUUAAGUUUAUAAUUUUGAUUACACUUUUGUUUCAGAUGAAGAGUGCAAAAAACGAUGGCGCAAUAUUAGAGAUACCUACUUUCGGUAUAAGCGAAAAAAUAAGUUGCCGACAGGGUCAUCAGCAGAACAAAAGGUACCUAAAUGGAUACUGUUUAAUCGUCUUUUAUUUCUUGACAAAGUUUCGCGUGAGAGAUUAAGUACUACUAAUAUAAAUGAAGGCGAGACAGAAAUGACAGAUAACGUGGAUGAGGUUGAACAAACAAAUUCUCAGUUGUCAUCGCAAAAUGCUGAAAAUGUAGGAAUUAUAGCUGCAGCAACAACGACUCGCACAAGUUCAGCCGAUGCAGUUUCCCUCUCAACUACAGGUACGCAAGUAACGACGAGAUUAUAGAGCUACUAAAGAAAAGAGAGGAACAAAGACAAGAAACUUUCCGAGGAAUAUUUCAACAGUCGCAAGCAUCAACCGACGGUCCCCUUCAUUCAUUUUGUGAACACAUUAAAUCGGUGCUUGAAUCAUUGUCGCCUUCUCUACAGGUAGAAGCCAAAGGGGAUAUUUAUAAUACCGUCACACGCAUUCAUCUGCUAGCACUCCGUUUCCACGGGAGAAUCCUCUAUCAGUACAUACAGAUAUGUCAAAUUCUAAUCCUUUUAACUCUCCACCGAUGCAGUCCCCAGAAAGUUUUUUACCGCCCCAAACUAGCACCGAUUGUCUGCAAGGAGCUGAAGAUGAAGCUGAUGAUGAAAUAGAUUUUGAAUCAGUACUUUUAAAGUUGUAAAUUACAAUAGCGUUUAGACUUAAAUUGUAAAAACUUACCUUAAUGUGAUAAAAAGUUUUUCUUCUGGA